UACGUAGGGGGCUAGCGUUGUCCGGAAUCAUUGGGCGUAAAGCGCGCGUAGGCGGCCAGAUAAGUCCGGCGUGAAAGCCACAGGCUCAACCUGUGAAUGCCGCUGGAAACUGGCUGGCUAGAGUCCGGGAGGGGCGAGUGGAAUUCCUGGUGUAGCGGUGGAAUGCGCAGAUAUCAGGAGGAACACCGGUGGCGAAGGCGGGUCUCUGGGCAGUAACUGACGCUGAGGAGCGAAAGCGUGGGGAGCGAACAGG
rnacentral:rRNA from 1 species